UUCCGAGCCUAAAACUAGUUAGCCAACCAAAAUUUGAUAUCAUAUGAAAUGGCGGUUGUUCACGUUUCUUCGGCAGUUUGAUCUAAUUUGCAGCCCAACAAGUCAACAACCCGCCAGUUCACCAACCAAUAAACCUAGGAAAAAUCAGAGCGGGUAACGCAAAUAAAAACCAACUACGAUACCGUUAUCGCAUAUAGUUCUGCUACCAGAUCCCAGAACAACCCAACAGCUCCUCUUAUCUGCUCUCAGCCGCCAUUAAUGCACCUCAAUAGAGAGGGAGAAAAGAGAGAUGAAAAUAUGUGUUGAUGGCUAUGCAGAGCCUACUCAGUUGACUUGUAUCAUUUUUGCGUGCAGUGAUCCCAAAUUCUCUCUUUGUCUUCCUACAUAAAUGUUGGAAAGAUAAAGUUUCUAUAUAUUUGGGGGUGUUCUUGGUUUUAGUAUCUUGCCAUUUGUUUAUCUUACAGUAUUUGAAGUUGAAAAGUUUACAUGUUGUUCUUUCUGCUUUGAGAGUUGAGUUCGUCGAUUUUUGUUUAUUGGGUGUUCUGUAUUUUGGUCUAAGAAGUCUGAAAGUGUGUAAAAAGAUAGUAUAUAGGACUAAAUAUUGCUAUUUUAAGGAACUGUUAAGUUGAAGCUAAGAGAAUAUGGAUAGGUGUGAAUUGUGAUGAAGGGCUAUGUUGGAUAUUCUGCAGCCUUUUUAUUGAGGUGUAACUGAUGCAACAGGAUGGGAUUUGCUUUUGAGAUAAGAACAGAGGAUUGAUUUUUUCAUUCAAGCAAUGCAGGCGAAAUCUUUUAAGCUUUUAUUGUUGCCUGGUCAUUUAGGGUUACUGGAUAAUAUACUUUUGAAUUUUGCUUAAGCCUUUGUUUGUUUUGAGUGUUUUUCAAGUUACGCUCAGGAUAUCUCUAGAAUAUCAGUAGUAGUUUUAUCAGAAAUGGAAAAAAAGGAUAUAAGUAGUAGCCAUAGCUAUGAAAAGAACACUACUUUUAGAUUUCUGUAUCAAGGGGACAAGGAGAGUUUCUUGAUCACUGACGCAAGAAUGAUGCGAGUCGUGGGUAGGCGUUGUGAGCCAUGGUUUCUCAGCACUGCUUGCUGCAAGGAAUUGUGAGAACUUCCAUUUUGGGAUUUGCCAUCUCGGUAUGCCUACUUGGCCUAAAUGAGGUACGUAGCUUCACCAGCUAAUGUAAUGUAGAUUUUCCUAUCUGCAUGCAGUGAAUACACUUGAUGCACCAUUUAUUGAAAUAGUACUAAAUUACUAAUAUUGGCUAGUUCUAAGUCUUCUAACUCUUCUGUUAUAGAGCUUCCUGAGAAAGCUGAUAGACUUUUUCCUGAAUCUUUUAUGACCAUUGCAUAAACUCAAACAGCCUGGUUUUCUGUCAUACACAGUCUAUCUUUAAUGAUUCUGAUGAGUGGCCUUGAACUUUGAAUGGCACAUGCUAUACUGAUGCAUAUUUGUACACUUGCAAAUCAACACAUCAAUGACUUGGAUUAUUUCAGACUAGAGAAAGUAAUUGUGUAAGAUGUAUGGUAAUUUUGUAAAUGAAUGUCAAUCUUCUGGUUCACUGACUUUCGAGUUUGUUCUCAUUUUUGUUUGUAUUCGAUAGUCAACGAUAGACAAGCUUGAACGACUAAUAUUAAUUUAAGAUGUCUUCUGCAUCAGAUGUGAUUUAAUUUUCAUAAUGUCUAUGAUCUAGGAUUACGUUUAAAAAGUAAUGGCUCUCAUGCGGUACUGAGUAAUGCUAUCUUUGCGUCUCAGCAUGUCUUUUGUUAUUGGAAUUGCCAAUUGUUGGGAGGCCUUGGGGCAAUUUUUGGUCUUACUUCUUACAAAAAUCUUCUUAGUAAGCAGGAGUGCAGGACAAUAUAAAAUAUAUAUGCUUUUCAUUAUGCAGUGAGCAGUGCACCAAUACAUUUGGUCAGGCUAUCUUGUUUUGUGAUAUCGAUGGGAUGACUUGUUGACAGUAGAAAAAGGAUACUAGUUUCAGGACAACAUUAGAAGAAAUGUUCAUGCUUGUAUUCUGAAAUAAGGAUAUGUCCCUUAACCAAAAAUGCGCAAAGAAAUGGUAUAUUACUAGAUUAGCUGUCAAGCUCAUAAUACAUUGUUGUCAUGUCAAUUGCCAAUGCAGUUAGUUGCUCAGGAGCUGAAAGGAUCAGGCAGAGAAAAUUAGAGAUUAACAUUCUUUAUGAAAUUUUGGGAGAAUUCUUGUUUCUCAACAGCAAUUAUACAUUCUUAAGAAUCAACUAUUAUUAGCCACUUUAUAGUUAUGUAGUGAAAUACACAUUUUCCUUACUAUGAGAACAUCGCAGAAGAGUCAAUAGAUGUACCUGCUUGAGCCCAAAUCUUGGGUUAGUAGCAACUGGCUUCAUAUUCUCUUUUGAUUUUCCUGGAGACAGAAAGAAGCAAACCAACUUUACAAUGUUAUUUGGGAUGCUAAUGUAUUGUUUUACAAAAGUUAAUAACUGAAUCUCUGUGCAAUUUGGAUUCAAGGGUUCUUUUGUUGUUGAUUUGUGUUGAUAAAAUUUGAUUUGAAUGUUUAUUUGUGCUUAUGAAUAUUUAUUUAUACUGGAUAAAUAGCUGAUUUUUAUGUUUCCGGGGGAAUUUCCAUAUGUGUUAGCCUCAAGUUGCACAUCCUAGUGAUUAAGUGUUCUUCCUAUAGUGCAAUCUGUGAUGAGUGAGGUGCUUAUUUUCCUUUUGAGAAAUUUUCUUCUCUACCAAGGUUCUCUCGUAACUGCUGAAAUUUAUGGUACCUUUCGAAUGUGAAGAUUAACCUGAAGGUGAUUGUCACUUGUCAGAGUCCUUCAGAUGACAAAAUCUGCGCAAUUUCUGCUUGUACCUUCUUUUCUAAUAGUUAUAGUGUCGACAAAGUAGUGUCUUGACUAUGGACCUUUGUAACACUUCUUCUGGAUAUUAUUAACACUUCUUCUGGAUAUUAAUUAACACUUCUUCUGGAUAUUAAUUAUGUAAUACUUGUACCUUCUUGACUAACACAGAAUUGUUUAGGCAAGAGUCUUUCAGAGUUUUCUUAGGGGAAUUACUUUAACAAUGGAUAAAAUAGUCUAUACUGAAUGAUAAUUCUAACUCUAGUUUUGUUUUAACAUGUUUCAUACUUGCGUGCUAUAGAAUCAUAUUAUGAAAUAUGGAAACCUCUAGGGCACGAGGUUUUCCAGUUUUUGAAACGUUUCCCACAAUCCCAGCCAUUUCUGCACUACUGAAGCCUCUAUGAUUAGGACUUACUGAUUUCCAUUUUAUAAUUUGUAAUUGAGGGAUUUUUUAAUAAAUAUACUAUAUGAUAUUUUCUAGUUUACAUCAUAUUUUAACAUUUUUCCGUUUACCCUUAUUCGUGCUACAUAGGUAGCACACCUUGGACUUUCGGAACUUUGUGCUUAGUGGUAGAGUUGUUAAGAUUAGCUUCACACAUCCUCCAAAGUGGUCUUAAUAGGUUAUGUUAGCUUAUUAUGUGGUUAGCUAGAGUCUAGUCAAGCUCUCUCCAAGUCCACUCUGAAGAAAGAUUUAAUAUUUGGACAGUUAGAGAUUGAUAACAUUAUAUAUCUAUGCUUUUAGAGACUGAGGUAAGUGGUUAGUUCCUGGGCUCCAAUUUAUGUCAACAUGAGUUGUUAGAUGUUAAUUCAAGGGAUUUACUUUAAGCAGAGACUUGCUAUCAGGAAUGAGGAGUUUGGACCUUAUCCUUUUCCCGCCAUAGUGGCAUAUGAUUGCUUAUAAGUUGGUAUGUUGCCAGGAUACUAAAUCUUUGUAGAGACUGAAUAUGACGUAUGAUGUAUGGCGUAUGACGUAUGACGUAUGGCGUAUGACGUAUGACAUAUGAGGCUAUCCUUGCUAACAGGCUGUAGCUAAAGAAGAGAAUACACGGAAGAAGUAGUGUACUGAAAAUCAAAUAAUCUUCAUGAUCUUACACUUAGUUCCUAGUUCUACUUCCUUUUUGCCUGGAUUCAGGAAACACUGCAUUGGUGUAGGCGAUCAGAUUCUUGUACCCAUUUGGUUUUUGAAGCUCAGUACCAAGGAUAAAUCAUAUAUUCAUAUGUGAUGUUUCUAGUUCAUUAGUCGAACAUUAACCUCUACAACCUCCUCUCCUCCCUCGCCAGAAAAAGAAAACUUUAACUGUUUGGCGAAGCAUUGAAGUAGGAGGUGCUAAAUCGGUAGAAUUAAUGAAAUCUGUCGAAGUGGGAAAGUGUGGCUUCUUCUUUAAGGUAGGUUGAUCCUUGAGCAUCUAAAGUGGUGCUGAGCAGCAGUAGUCCUAGUGAAGAAGAAUGGCUGCGCACUGCUGAGUGCUGAGGGAGGGUUGUAUAUUGAUUAAGAUUAACCUGGUGUAAGAUACCAUUCAAGUUUUGACUAGAUAUCUAUAACCAGAAUCUGUAGGCUAAUAUCACUUGCAAUCUGCACUCUGCACUCUGCAAUAAUGGAGCAGACUUCUGCUCGAUUGAUAGAUUUGCUUCAAAUUCAAGACAAACAUUCAAACAAGCUGCGCAGUUCUGUAAUUCUAUACUGCUUGUCAGUUGGGACUGGAGAUAUACUUGCCAUUUACAGAUAGUUUGUGUAGGCUUUGGCUUAGUAGUUGACAUGCUUUCUAGAUUGGUGCAGCUAACAUGGCUAGCUAACCAACUAAUGGCUUUCCCCUGCAAUACAUUCAUACUUUAUGCGAUCCCUAGCAUACAUAUAUAGGUAUGAAACGAACAACAAUAUCACCUAUUGUCAGCCAGAUCUAAGGAUAACAUCAUAAGUUUGAUGAGCACAUCUAUUGCUUUUCUGAAACUCUUUAUCCAAAUGAUAUUUUCCCUAAUAUCAUAAUCGGAAAAUAUUCUUCAAUGAGAUACAGUUGUGACAAGAUUUGAAUUUAAAGCAAGAAAGCAGUCCAGAGCCAGAAUUAUCUAUUCGUUUGAAUCAUUUCCCUCCAUCAUUAUAAUCCAAACAAAUGUGAAGGAAUUUAGGCUUUUAAAGAGGUUCAAUUCACAACUCAUGGAGCUUGUAAUCUGAUCUAUGCCCCUGAUAAUGCCCUCUUCAGUUCCUUUUUUCAUUUGUUUUCGUAGGGUGCCUUGGAUGGAUGAAUAUUAAGUCUGGCCAAGUAACAUCUUUGGCACUUGCAUCAAGAAAAUAUUUAUAUGCUCAAAUCACUAUUUGUUAGAAUAAGGCGCAUUAGUCUUGUUCCCAUUUAAAUCUGAAGAGGAGGUCAAUGUCAACCAGUAAGCAAAUUUCCACUGAUAGAUAUAUGUGGGAUGUCAGUAUGUCACAAUGAGACAACCCAAAGGGAAUUACAACCCUUAUUAGGACAAAUGGAGUUGAUGCAGGAGCUCUGAUUUUUUUGUUUGCUUCUUAGCGAGAUCCUUGUGAGAGAGUAAUUGGCAAAGUCCUUAUGUCAUUUGCCUCUCACUUGAAUUUCUAUAUACUAGUUGGGGAGUUAAAAAUUUUCUUUUUGUUUUUGAUUUCUGUUUCUAAAUCAUUUAUAACUUGGUUGCUCUCUUUGAGCUACUUUGUAAUGUUGUUGGGAUCUUCUUCUCUAAUCUCUAUGUCUUUGCCAUGUGGGUUCCUUAUGAGUUGGAUACCUCAGCAACGCUACAUUUUGCAGCUCACAUAUCUCUAAUACACUCUUAUCUGUGAGUUUAUACAUUGAUUAGGCUCUGUUCCUACAAGCAUUUACAUAUUUUUUGUUUUUGCUUUUUCAAACAUUAUACUACUAUAUGUUCUUACUUAAGUAAUCUAGUUUAUUAUAUU